CUGAAGGAGGAGCUUGCUCUUCUGGAUGAGUUGCGAACGGGUGAGUAACGCGUAGGUAACCUGCCUGGUAGCGGGGGAUAACUAUUGGAAACGAUAGCUAAUACCGCAUAAGAGUAGAUGUUGCAUGACAUUUACUUAAAAGGUGCAAUUGCAUCACUACCAGAUGGACCUGCGUUGUAUUAGCUAGUUGGUGGGGUAACGGCUCACCAAGGCGACGAUACAUAGCCGACCUGAGAGG
rnacentral:rRNA from 1 species